UAAGGAAUAUUGGUCAAUGCCCGGAAGGGUGAACCAGCCAUCCCGCGUGAAGGAUGAAGGGGCUCUGCCUUGUAAACUUCUUUUGAAUGGGACGAAAAAGCCUCACUUGUGAGGAACUGACGGUACCAUUAGAAUAAGCACCGGCUAACUCCGUGCCAGCAGCCGCGGUAAUACGGAGGGUGCGAGCGUUAUCCGGAAUCACUGGGUUUAAAGGGUGCGUAGGCGGCUGUAUAAGUCAGUGGUGAAAGGCUGUGGCUUAACCAUGGGAUUGCCAUUGAUACUGUACGGCUUGAAUUAGGAUGAGGUUGGCGGAAUGUGACAUGUAGCGGUGAAAUGCGUAGAUAUCUGGAGGAACACCGGUGGCGAAGGCGGCAUCCUGGACCAAUACUGACACUGAGGAGCGAAAGCCAGGGGAGCAAACGGGAUUAGAUACCCCGGUAGUCCCUGAGCGGGCUGGCAAGGCGCAU
rnacentral:rRNA from 1 species